UCACGGGAGAGACUCCUUAUAUACAGGCGCCUGGCGGCCAUCUCGGUCUUUUGAGGUUAGGCGUCGGGGUUUGGGAACGUGCCAGGCACGAACGCGAUGUGGCAUUUGAUGGCCUCUGAUGGACAGUUAAGUGCCAGUGGGAUGAAAAGAGCUGCCGGGUCCUAAAGGUCUGGCCAUGGGUAAACAGGCACAAAACAGAAUUAGCUGAAAGUUCAAGGGGUGGACUUGAGUGACAUGUUCAGACCAUCUUGAUUUUUUUGUUACUGGGUGCAUGUCUUAAAUCUGUGGAUGGCUUGCUUUGGGGUACAGAUUUUGAAGUCAUAUAUAAAGUUUCAGGAGUUGCAUUGGCUACAAGGCAUGGAAUGAGGAGCUUUAAGCAAAGGCAGUCCUGUUACCCUGAAGAAUCAAGGCUAUUUAUGAUGGCAACAAUCUCCAGCUUACCAACUGAAAGCUGAAACAUCACUAUGCAGCUUCAUAGGAUUCUCUUGAGGCUGAUUGAACUGGCCCCGUCACCUAUUACCCACAUUUCACACGAUUUGAUUACCUCUGUCCUCAGUGAACAAAUCGGGUGGAAAACACUAUGCUAUUAUACUCCAACAAGGAGCCAUCUUUCACACCUCUCCAAGUAAGAAUCUUCAAGUGUCCCGAACAAAGAAAAAUACUAAUGUAUGUUAUCAGGUCAAAACUGGAUACCUUCUGUUUCUUCAUUGUGGAGAAUGUUGCCUGGACUCUCCCCCUAAAAACAUGAUUGCCGUAUCUGGCUGAACUCCAGAUCUGGUGUUAGCCUGGGAAGGCAGAGGACAAACCCAUAAACUCAACUUUCUGGACAGUGUGGAUGAUUCAAGGAGCUCUUCUCUGCUGCUGAGUCUGCUGACCAGGAAACCUGGAUAUGAUAGGGCUUCAGUUCCUCAGGAGAGAGAGAAUCAGGUGCAUUGCUCAUGAGAUCAUGCCCCCGGAAGGAUUUGGGGAAGGCUAUGACAUCUCUGAUGCUUGGUGCUCCAGUGACAAGGCAUAUCAGUCUGUCUAAUCCUGUGAGUAAAAUACAAAAUUAACAGAUGAGAAUGUAAUCUAAGAUUCGGAGUGACUAAAUUUUAUGAAGGUUGUAAGAACUUCUAAAUCAAUCUAACAAGUUGUAGCCAAGCACAGGUCCCUGACUUUUUAGAGAACUUUUGUUUGUGUGAUUCUUUUCUUAUUCUAGAAAAAUGCUCAAAGGGCCUAGAGUCUAGGUGAGCAUCCUGGAAUUUCUCACUCUUCUUGCUUGGUAAAACUAGCAAGGUGAGUGACCAUGGCCAUCAGAAGAGCGCUGGCAUAUUUCCACUUUUGUACAAGCUGAAUACUAUGGACCAGUGGUUUCCAGACUCCAGUAAAUGUGUCUGUGAGCCCUCAGGGAUUCGAGCAAUCCUGACUGAAGACUAGUUUUAUUCUAUUAAAUCUUUCAAAUGUAAAUUACUCAUUUUUAUCUUAACAUUUAUAAUGUAAAAAUACGUCACUGAAAUGGAAAAACAAACUUAAAUUCUUGUA